CUUUAUUCAGGAAUUCUUUAUUUUCUUAUUUUUUUUAAAAAAAAAGAAAAAUCAUAAAUUAAUUUUAUUUAUUGAGGUCUCAUCAUAUAGCCCUAGCUGGCCUGGAACUUGCUAUGUAGACCAGGCUGGCCUCGAACCUCGAAUUUCCAGAGAUCCAUCCAUUUGCCUCCACCUCCCAAGUGCUGAAGUCAAAGCCACCCCGCAGCCUCAGUUUUUAGUACAAGGUCUGAGCCGAGGAGGAAGGAGGUUUACUUUUUACUGCCAUAGGUGACUGAGAACAAAGAAAACUAAGACUCUUGGGACUGUCGCUCCAGAGCCUCCGGGUUCCGCCCCUCUUGCCUUGACCCCCUCACCUCUGCUCCAAGAAGCUUUCCAGUAAGUGUUAGAAUAUCACCUCUCCCCUCUAUGGAGGACGGGGUGGGGUGUGUGUGUGUUAAGUAUGGAGGAAGGUCUGGCACACAGGCUCCAGCCAACCCGGAGCCUGAUUUCCUAAGUAAGAUUACUAUCUGGCCCCACAGAGUGGUCCAACCCAACAGCUGCGCUUGGCCAUGCUCUUCUGUCAGACAAUGUCCCUCCCUGAGAGUCCCUACAGCGGUGCAGUUUCAGGUCCCAUCCCCAUUUGCCAGGUCACUGCUGCUGUGCUGCACCAUGGUAACACCUACCUCUGAAUGGUAAAGAAUUCUACGGGGUUGGGGAUUUAGCUCAGUGGUAGAGCACUUGCCUAGCAAGCGCAAGGCCCUGGGUUCGGUCCCCAGCUCCCCCAAAAAAAAAAAAAAAAAAUUACCUUUGAGAGGUCUCAGCCAGAGGCUCCAUGGGGCCUGAGAAUGGACCCCAUCAACACUGGCUUUUAUUCUUAGAGCUAAGUGCUGAAUUCUGGGCUGGAGGGAUGGCUCAGCGGUUAAGAGCACUGACUGCCCUUCCAGAGGUCCUAGGUUCAAUUCCCAGCAACCACAUGGUGGCUCACGACCACCUGUAAUGGGAUCUAAUACCCUCCUCUGUACUCACACACAUAAAAUAAAUAAAUCUUUGUUUAAGAAAUGCUGAACUCUGCCAUUGAAAGAAUGACCCAGCAGGCAGGGCAAACUCAUCCUUCCUCACACAAAGCCAGACUUCCGUUACUGUUUGGAGAAAGUGGGUAUGUUCUGGAGACACAUCAAAACAUCCUGGGGAGAUGAAAGGCAACAGAGAGUAACCACCAAGAUCCAGAGUCGAGGACUAGGCAUGGUGGCCAUAACUUUUAGUCCCAGCAUUCAGGAGGCAGAGGCAGGCAGAGCUUCGUGAGUUGGAGACCAGCCUGGUCUACAUAGUGGGUUCCAUGCCAACCAGGUUGCUUCGUCAGACGCUGAUACAAAAGUAAAUAAAUAAACCAAGAAUCCUGCCUGUCGCUUUUUUCUUGCGGUGUGGCCGUGGGCCAGUCACUCUCAAAGGGAAAACACAGAGUAACAUCUGUAAAGUGGCACUGUGGCCAGCCCAUUUCAAAGGCUCACUUGAGGAUUGCUACAGUUAGGCUAGCUGAGGGAGAGCCUGGGUUACAGGUGGCC
rnacentral:lncRNA from 1 species